rnacentral:rRNA from 1 species
CUAUACAUGCAAGUCGAGCGGACAGAAGGGAGCUUGCUCCCGGAUGUUAGCGGCGGACGGGUGAGUAACACGUGGGUAACCUGCCUGUAAGACUGGGAUAACUCCGGGAAACCGGAGCUAAUACCGGAUAGUUCCUUGAACCGCAUGGUUCAAGGAUGAAAGACGGUUUCGGCUGUCACUUACAGAUGGACCCGCGGCGCAUUAGCUAGUUGGUGGGGUAAUGGCUCACCAAGGCGACGAUGCGUAGCCGACCUGAGAGGGUGAUCGGCCACACUGGGACUGAGACACGGCCCAGACUCCUACGGGAGGCAGCAGUAGGGAAUCUUCCGCAAUGGACGAAAGUCUGACGGAGCAACGCCGCGUGAGUGAUGAAGGUUUUCGGAUCGUAAAGCUCUGUUGUUAGGGAAGAACAAGUGCGAGAGUAACUGCUCGCACCUUGACGGUACCUAACCAGAAAGCCACGGCUAACUACGUGCCAGCAGCCGCGGUAAUACGUAGGUGGCAAGCGUUGUCCGGAAUUAUUGGGCGUAAAGGGCUCGCAGGCGGUUUCUUAAGUCUGAUGUGAAAGCCCCCGGCUCAACCGGGGAGGGUCAUUGGAAACUGGGAAACUUGAGUGCAGAAGAGGAGAGUGGAAUUCCACGUGUAGCGGUGAAAUGCGUAGAGAUGUGGAGGAACACCAGUGGCGAAGGCGACUCUCUGGUCUGUAACUGACGCUGAGGAGCGAAAGCG